rnacentral:rRNA from 1 species
UAUGGAGGAUGCAAGCGUUAUCCGGAAUGAUUGGGCGUAAAGCGUCCGCAGGUGGCUGUGUAAGUCUGCUGUUAAAGAGUCUAGCUCAACUAGAUACAAGCAGUGGAAACUACACGGCUAGAGUACGUUCGGGGCAGAGGGAAUUCCUGGUGUAGCGGUGAAAUGCGUAGAGAUCAGGAAGAACACCGGUGGCGAAGGCGCUCUGCUAGGCCGUAACUGACACUGAGGGACGAAAGCUAGGGGAGCGAAUGGG